AUUGAUCAUAUGGUGGCAACAAACAAAUAGAUCUAAUUCAACAAACAAAUUCGUUCAUAUACUCCCUAUGCUGGCUCACAUAAAGCAAAUGUGAGAAUUUCCAACUAAAAAGCUUUGUUAAACUUCGUUGAUCAUUAACUCAAACCAAAAGCAAAUGUGAGAAUUUCCAACUAAAAAGCUUUGUUAAACUUCGUUGAUCAUUAACUCAAACCACCAGGCAACAGACUUUUGGCUGGUGGAAGCAGAGCAACUGCUCCUCGCUCAGGCUUUGAGUAC
rnacentral:lncRNA from 1 species